GGGGGUGUGGCUCAGUGGUAGAGCGUGUGCGUAGCAUGCACGAGGCCCUGGGUUCCAGCCCCAGUGCUUCCA
rnacentral:tRNA from 1 species